GCUGAUAGUGAAGCCCAGAGAGCAUUUGGAGCAGUCUGAUAGAUGACUGAAGAAACUCAUUAUUGGAGAAAUCCAGAAGGUACGGUAGGAGUUCGUCCGUUGGAGAAAUCUGGAGGACACUGUGGAAGGUCGACUGCUGAAGGAGUCCGAAUGGUACUGUGGAAGCUCGAACGGCCGAGGGAGUUCAGAAAGACGCUGCACAAUGUCGGAAGCCGGAAGAGUCCUGGGAGGGUU
rnacentral:lncRNA from 1 species